GGAAGCGUCGGCGCGGGAGCGGACUAUGACGGCGAGACUGGAGGCCCCGUCGGUUACCUCGCAUGGAAGAUGAUGGACUGUUUCUUGAUUCUUAGAAGUUGGAACCGCAUGCUGAAAGCAAGCUUAGAUUUCUAUGGUCCUGGAUUUUGACACCAUCUGUACUGGUGCGGCCAGGUCUGAUCCAUGACAAUGUAUCUGACAAGAUCACCUCCCAACCUGCUGAUGUGCAUGGGCAGCGAGGUCACCUUCUUUGAUUGCUGGAAUGGUUCAGCUCGGCGGAGGAUUCUUUGAUAGAAACAGGGGACAGCAGUGGAGCGUCAGGUAUAGAAACAUGGGUAAUUUUUCUUCGCCUAUCUCAUACUUACAGGGACCAAGAAUUAUUCAAAGGUGAUAUAUUUAUGGUGCAUUUCGUUUAACAUUACCUGAGUUGAUUCUGAAAAGAGCAAACAAAUUCCUUUUGUUGGAGCACUCUGCGUUGUGCAGUCAGUGUCGAGUCUGUGUCUUCUCUCUACGGGAUAUAUUCUCACAAGGACGCGGACAACAUGUAGCUGACUGGUUACUUUACAAAGUGCAAGUUUGCAUGGUUUCAUCCGUGGUUUGACGCUGGAAAUUCAGAGGUUAAGCGACGCCUCCAUACAGCUGGAGGUGUGGCUGUGUAUACUGGAAAGCGAAAAGCCAAUUUUAUUUGAGAAACUACAGUGAUACCUAAACAAACGAUUAAAAGAAGCAAUAGGAAUGCUUGUGUCGGUUUAUGCUAUGAAAAGAAGCCAUAUGAAUCUUCUCGAUUGUUUGUAUCCUAGAGAGCUGAAGAGGCUGCCGAGUAUUAUGCAAAAAAUAAAGAUGAAAUUGUACAGCCGAUACGACCAGCACGAAAACUUAAAAAUCAGUCAGCGAUGCUAGAUAUAGAUAAGAACAUGGUUUGUGGUACACCAACUAAUUGGGAGUCACCCAACCGUGCAUACCACCUGCAGCAACAGGUCAGACGCAGGAAAAUCCAGGAGGAAUGAGACAUGAUCUGAUAGCACAAACAAAUUUUAGGAAAGCAGGUUCACUAAACCAAAUAACUGGACAACAAGAAAUCCACAUUCAGUUGACAGAUAUACUUGCGGUUCUUCAUCUGGUCCAGCUGCACUUGUGUGGCUAUGCUCAGUAACAAUUGGGGCAGAUGGAGUAGGUUUGUAUUCAUAAAUCUGUCAGCUAUCUCUAGAUAUUACUUUUGUGUGGCACAGGUUUUGUUAGGAUUCAAUCUUCCGUCUGUGGCAUUGUUGGUUUCAAGGCAACAUUCGGAUGGACAUAUAUGAAUGGGUAACUAAGAAAUGUUCCGUCUCACAGGAUAUUUACCA